GCACAAGCGGUGGAGCAUGUGGUUUAAUUCGACGCAACGCGAAGAACCUUACCUGGGCUCGAAAUGUAGUGGAAUCCGGCAGAAACGUCGGCGUCUAGCAAUAGACCGCUAUAUAGGUGCUGCAUGGCUGUCGUCAGCUCGUGUCGUGAGAUGUUGGGUUAAGUCCCGCAACGAGCGCAACCCUUAUCUUCAGUUGCUACCAUUUAGUUGAGCACUCUGACGAAACCGCCUCGGAUAACGGGGAGGAAGGUGGGGAUGACGUCAAGUCCUCAUGGCCUUUAUGUCCAGGGCUACACACGUGCUACAAUGGCCGGUACAAACCGCUGCAAACCCGCGAGGGGGAGCUAAUCGGAAAAAGCCGGCCUCAGUUCGGAUUGGAGUCUGCAACUCGACUCCAUGGAGCUGGAAUCGCUAGUAAUCGUGGAUCAGCAUGCCACGGUGAAUACGUUCCCGGGC
rnacentral:rRNA from 1 species